rnacentral:misc_RNA from 1 species
CAACCCUCAGGCCCCGCCUGGUGUUGGGGCACCACUACUGUGGGCUCCCAAAGUCAGCGGCGGGUGCGGCCCGGACCCGAGCGUAGUAGCAUAACUCGCUAGGGGCUCCGGCCGUGCUCCGGCCGUUAAACCCACCACUUUGAAA